UAGGAAUAGAAGGGAAUUUUUCUCAACUUGAUAAAAAUCAUCUAUGAAAAACCUUUAGCUAACAUCAUACUAAAGGGUGAAACUCUGAACGCUUCCCCUCUUUAACACUAUGAACAAGCAAGUCCAUCCUCACCGCUUCUAUUUUACUGAAGGUUCUAGCUAGUGAAAUACGGUAAGAAAAAGGAAAUUAAAGGCAUCCAAAUUGAAGAGGAAAUAAAAAUUGUCUUUACUGGAGGAUGACAAUCACCUAGGUGGAAUAUCUGAUAGACUCUACAAAAAAGCUACUAAAACAAAUACGUGAUGUCAGCAACACUGCAGGAUAGAAGACAAACAUGCAAAAAUCUACUGCAUUUCUAUAUUCCAACAACAAACAAUUGAAAUUUAAAAAAUACCAUUUACAGCAACAUUUAAAAAUAAAAACUUAGAGAUAAACCUAAGAUAAGCAAGACCUGUACACUGAAAACAAUAAAAUAUUGCUAAGAGAAAUUAAAUAAGAUCUAAAUAAACAGAGAUACACUUUGUUCAUGGACUGUAAGACUCCAUAUUGUUAAAGAUGUCAAUUCCCUCCCAAAUAGAUCUACAGACUCAAAGCAAUUCCAACUAAAAUCCCAGAAGACUACCGUGCAGAAACUGACAAACUGAUUCUCAAAUUCCUAGGGAAAUUCAACAGACCUAGAAAAGGCCAAACAACUUUGAAAACAAAGCUGGAGGACUUCCACUACCUGACGUCAAGACUCAUCAUAAAGACAGACUAACAAAGACAGCGUAAUAUUGGCAUAAAGGCAGACAAACAGAUCAAUGCAGCCUAAUUAAACCCAGAAAUCCAGGCACACCUCACUUGAUUGCGCUUCGCAGACAUGGUUUUUCACAAGACUCUCCACCAGAAAAGAUUACAACUCGCUGAAGGCUCAACUGAAGGUUAACAUUUUUUUAGCAAUAAAGCAUUUUUACACUAAGGUAUGCACAUUAUUUUUUAGAUAUAAUGCUAUUGCACAUUUAACAGACUACAGCGUAGUGUCAACAUAACUUUUAUAUGCACUGGGAAACCCAAAAACUGUGUGACUCCUUUAGUGCAAUAUUCGCUUUACUGCAGUGGUCUGGAACCAAACCCGCAAGAUCUCCGAGGUACGCCUCUGUAGACUGACAUAUACGGUCAAACGAUUUCUGACAAAGGUGCAAAGGCCAUUCAGGGGAGAAGAGAGAGUCUUUUCAAGAAAUGGUGCCAGAACGACUGAAUAUCCAUACGCAAAAAAAUUAACUUUGAUCCACACCUUAUAUCAUAUACAAAAGGCAACUCAAAAUGGAUCACAGCCUUAAAUAUAAAUCUAUAAAACUUCUAGGAAACAACAUGAAGGAAAUCUUCAUGAUUUGGGUUAGGAAAGGAUGCUCAUACUUGCCAAAAACACUACCCAUGAAAGGAAAAAUUAAUAAACUGGACCUCAUCAAAAUGAAAAACUUUUGCUCUGUAAAAGACCAUAUGAAGAGGAUGCUAAAGACAAGCUACAAAGCAGGAGAAAAUAUCUGCAUAUAUGUGACAAAAGACUAGCAUCCAGAACAUACAAAGCACUUGCAAAGCUCAAGAGUAUGGUGAUAAUGGGGGAGGUUAUACGGGCGUGGGGGCAGGGAGUAUACGGGAAUCGCUGUACCUUCUACUCAGUUUUGCUGUAAACCUAAAACUGCUCUAAAAAAGUCUAUUUAAAAAACCUCAACAGUAAAAAAAAUCUAAUUAGAAAAUAAGGACCUGAACAGAUCUGUCACUCAAGGGGAUAUACAGAUGGCAACUGAGCACAUGGAAAGAUGUUCAACAUCAUUAGCCGUUAGGGAAAUGUAAGUCAAAACCAGUAUCACUAUCUCUACACAUCUAACACAAUGGCUAAGAGAAAAAACAGUAACACCACCAAAUACUGGCAAAGCUGCGGAGACGCUGGGGCACUCACACACUGCUAGUGGGAAUGUAAAAUAAUACAGCCACUUUAGAAAAGUUUGCCAGUUUUUUAAUGAUUCUAAACACGCAAUUACCAUACAACCCAGCAACUGCACUAUUAGGCACUUAGAGAAAUGAAAAGCUGUGUUCACACAAAAACCUCUACACAAACGUACAGCUUUAUUGGUAAUUGUCAAAAACUAGAAACAGCCCAGACGUCCUUCAAUGGGUGAACGGUUAAACAAACUAUGGUACACACAUACAUACCACAAAAUCCUACUUAUCAAUACAAAGAACACAACCAUUAAUACAGGCAACAAUGUGGACGAAUCUCCAAAGAAUUAUACUGAGUGAAUAAAGCCAGUCCCAAAAGUAUUGUAUGAUUCCAUUUAUAUAACAUUUUUUGAUGACAAAAUUUUAGAGUGAAAAACAGAUUGGCGGUUGCCAGAUCAGGGACAGGGGAGGGAGAGGAACAGGAGGAACAUGUGUGGCUGUAAGUGGGCAACACAAGAGAUCCCAGUGGUGACGAAGCUGUACAUUACCUCACUGUGGCAGCAGACACACGAAUCUACACGUGACAACACCGUAUACAACUAAAUACACACACGCUCACAUGACGAUACUUUUGCAAGACGUCACCAUUAGAGGAAGCUGGGUAAAGUGUCUAUUUUGUUAAUCAACCAACAUAUAUUAAACUAUGAUUCACAGAGUCAUCACGUCUUAAGUCUCCCUACAUACGCUCUCAUUUAUAGUUCUCCUACCGUACACACAAAGGAGCAAAGAAGCUAUCACCUCCAUUAAAAGGCACAGAGAAAAUAUGACCACUAUUUUUAACCUAAAUUUAAUUUUCAAAACAGAGAUUGACAGCAGUAGAAAUGCUCAGUGCUCUACAUUGAGAAAACUGUACUGUAAUCAUUUGGCAAUAAAUAUGUAUAAGGUACGUUAAAUUACAUGGUACAAAAAAAUCUUAAACUAAAGUCCUACUAAACACAUUGCCUUAGGUAAUUACGGUGCUUUAUUGAUAAACUGCUUUUAUGUGAAAAAGAUACACGGCCAAGAAAGAAAUUCAUUACAAAUGUAAGAAUAAUGAUUACUUCACGAAAAUAAUAAUCCUUGUCUUUAAAACUGAACAAUUAGAGUGGCACCGCCCCUGCACCGCCUGUGACCGGCAGCCUUCUCUAACCGGCCCCGGCCGACACCGCAGCCCCAGCACGCGGCCGUCCGCCCGGGUGCAGCUGGGGCACGGGGAGGAAGGCCCGGCUGCACGGGCGGUUCGCACCCGGGGCGGGGCUGGCAGGCACGCCCCCCGGGGACGCAGGCACGCCGCGGACACGGCCCCCAGCACGCGGCGGGCCAGCACUUCCCCCUCCGGCACCCCGCCCUGGCGGCAGAGCAGCUCAGCGUGCGGCUGCCCCAAGAGAACACGUUCCCUCCCACAGCACCCGCAUCUUCUGCCAACAUCCCCUCGCGGCCGCGGGCCGUCAGAGGAACUGCGAGCCGCCGCCCGAGCGCAGACGCGGCGGAGACCCGGCCCAGCCCCGGAGGAGGCUCAGCGGGCGCGCCGGGACCCAGCCCGCCUCCUGCACGGAAGGCACGCGCUCCGACGGGCCAGCGCAGACGGCUCAACACAAACGGACAGCUCUCCCCGGAACCCGGGUUUCGUUAAUUUCAUCAGUUUACUCCAGAGGUUCCUGCAAUGCUUCUCCCUCGCUCUGCUGCCCCCCAGUCGUGGCCAUCGACCCUCCGAUCUACACUGCGCUGGCAAACGUCCACGCAGGUGACCCCCGAGUCAAGAAGCACCCCUGUGUGCCCCGCUCCUUACCGCCUGCCUGGCCCGCAGGCCCCCAGGAAGGGAACAGCAGGCACACGCACACACCUGCCACCGGCCUCUGCCCACCCGCACCACUCGGCUGCUCUUCCCCUCUAGGACUGCGUCCACUCUCACCAACUCCCUCCCCCAGCUCCCUUGGCGCCUGAGUGACCCUUCCUCGGGCGGCCUGCCUGUGUCCUGGGGUGAAGCUCCUGAAGGCAGGGCAGGGCUGGUGACACGCCUCUCAGGAACCGCCAGGCCAGCGGGCCAGCAGACAAAGGGUAAAAAAGUAACGGUGGCUCCUUCUCUUCCCAGCCUCCAUAACGCACUCUCGUGUGGCUCUAGGCUCAGAAUCUGCUCAAUUACACUGUCUGUCAAAAAACACAACUCACAAACGCUUCCUGCAAAGUAAGAAAAUAACUAUGAGCGCUAAAGACAACAAAAACAAGACCUGACAUAAUUAUCAAACUCUUACUCAUUUAUCAAACCCUUACUGUGUGCCCAACAUGACUUCACAAGCUCAGUCAAGCCUCACGACCCUGUGACACAGGUAACUCAGCUUGAUUCACAAGUCCAGCUCGGAAGCUGAAAAGCUUGAGCAAGCAUGUCUCAGCCUCCUCCACUUGGUGUCCUCGCUCACAAAUGCUCAGCACCGCGUACCUGCAGAACUUCUCUCUCAAGCACAAAGAUCUUCAACAGUUACAAAUCUCUCUCUUUUAAACUAUUCGCGACACUCUUUACAGAUUUAUUCCAUGAGAUAAGAUUUGCCUUUAAUUGACACUGCAGACACAUCAACAAACAGAAUUCCAAGUUUUGAAACAUGCUUACAUGACUGCCAAUUCUGUGUUUAAAUAAACUGGUUAAGUAAAUACUUAAUAGGUAAUCAUUCUUCACUCUGAUUACUAAUUUUUUUUUUAAUAUUCUGCCAACACAUAGAUACAGUACGGUUAAGCAUAAAAACACAGAAUUUACCUCCUUUCUCACAGUGGACAAUGGCUAAAUGUAAGGAGAAUGAAAAAAUUAACAGGCUGAGGGUUACCUUUCAUAAAGGUCAAGGGUAACACAUUCAUUUGUGGACCCACAGAGCAACAGAAAGGAUUCUAGACAACUUGGGUUCAUUCUCAUGGUCUCUCACUGUCAGAAAGCUCUGAGCAAGUCAUUCAGCCUCUCUCGAUCUGUCCAACCUCUAAGGGGAGAUUAGACCAGAUACUAUGAAAGGUCUCUUCUACCUCGAAACUUUCUAUAAUUUCAUAGUUACAAAAAGAUGUACAUCAGAGACUGAAAGUUUGUCCCAGGUGCUCAACUGUCACUUACUCAUGGGCUUACAGAAU